CGGCGAGUGAGCGGCAAAAGCUCAAAUUUGAAAUCUGGCUCUUUCAGAGUCCGAGUUGUAAUUUGAAGAAGGUAUCUUUGGGUCUGGCUCUUGUCUAUGUUUCUUGGAACAGAACGUCACAGAGGGUGAGAAUCCCGUGCGAUGAGAUGAUCCAGGCCUAUGUAAAGUUCCUUCGAAGAGUCGAGUUGUUUGGGAAUGCAGCUCUAAGUGGGUGGUAAAUUCCAUCUAAAGCUAAAUAUUGGCGAGAGACCGAUAGCGAACAAGUACAGUGAUGGAAAGAUGAAAAGAACUUUGAAAAGAGAGUGAAAAAGUACGUGAAAUUGUUGAAAGGGAAGGGCUUGAGAUCAGACUUGGUAUUUUGUAUGUUACUUCUUCGGGGGUGGCCUCUACAGUUUAUCGGGCCAGCAUCAGUUUGGGCGGUAGGAGAAUUGCGUUGGAAUGUGGCACGGCUUCGGUUGUGUGUUAUAGCCUUCGUCGAUACUGCCAGCCUAGACUGAGGACUGCGGUUUAUACCUAGGAUGUUGGCAUAAUGAUCUUAAGUCGCCCGUCUUGA
rnacentral:rRNA from 1 species